rnacentral:ncRNA from 1 species
CUGGGGGGAGCCGGAUUGGCCGGCUGAGAGGUCUCGAGAGAGGACGACCCCUGGAACCUGAUCCGGGUAAUGCCGGCGAAGGGAUCAGUGCUU